rnacentral:rRNA from 1 species
UAGUCCACGCCGUAAACGAUGGACACUAGUUGUUGGAUUAUUUCAGUGACUAAGCGAAAGUAAUAAGUGUCCCACCUGGGGAGUACGAUCGCAAGAUUGAAACUCAAAGGAAUUGACGGGGGGCCCGCACAAGCGGUGGAGCAUGUGGUUUAAUUCGAUGAUACGCGAGGAACCUUACCAGGGCUUAAAUGUGGUCUGACAGCUUUAGAGAUAGAGUUUUCUUCGGACAGAUCACAAGGUGCUGCAUGGUUGUCGUCAGCUCGUGCCGUGAGGUGUCAGGUUAAGUCCUAUAACGAGCGCAACCCCUAUCGUUAGUUGCUAACAAGUAAUGUUGAGGACUCUAGCGAGACUGCCGGUGCAAACCGCGAGAAAGGUGGGGAUGACGUCAAAUCAUCACGGCCCUUACGUCCUGGGCUACACACGUGCUACAAUGGGCGAGACGAUGAGCUGCAAGUCUGUGAAGGUUAGCUAAUCUAUAAACUCGUUCUAAGUUCGGAUUGGU